rnacentral:rRNA from 1 species
UACGGAGGGUGCAGGCGUUAUCCGGAUUCACUGGGUUUAAAGGGUGCGUAGGUGGGCAGGUAAGUCAGUGGUGAAAUCUCCGGGCUUAACCCGGAAACUGCCAUUGAUACUAUCUGUCUUGAAUAUCGUGGAGGUGAGCGGAAUAUGUCAUGUAGCGGUGAAAUGCUUAGAUAUGACAUAGAACACCAAUUGCGAAGGCAGCUCACUACGCGAAUAUUGACACUGAGGCACGAAAGCGUGGGGAUCAAACAGG